UUGGAAGUCUUCUGUAAAGAAGAUCCUAUUCCCUUUAAGUAAGAGGCAGCUGCAUACACUGAGUCUGGAUGAAAGAGAAUGGACUUCAGAGUUGAACGGCCCUCUUCUGGAAUGCAAACUUUUCAACUUAGUGGGAAUUGCUGCUUGUGCUGCCUACAUAAGACUCGCCUUAGCAAAGGAGACGGCACAGAGCUACGGUCUCUCACUCCACUCUGAACGGAAGCAGGAGGUUUCCUCAGCAAUGGAAUACAUUUUGCUUUAUAUGAGCAGUCUUCCCUACGAGAAAUGUGGGAAGUAGCUUUUAGUAGUUGUCCAAUAAUCAGCACCAUAAUCUUAUUUAUUGUCUAGGGCUGGGGGAAGGCCUAUCUCAGUUCCAAAGUUCAACUCAGUAUACACCUCUCCACUGCAGCCUAAGUUAAAAAAAAAAAAA
rnacentral:lncRNA from 1 species